AUUGAACGCUGGCGGCAGGCCUAACACAUGCAAGUCGAACGAGUGGCGGACGGGUGAGUAAUGUCUGGGAAACUGCCCGAUGGAGGGGGAUAACUACUGGAAACGGUAGCUAAUACCGCAUACCAUCGGAUGUGCCCAGAUGGGAUUAGCUUGUAGGUGAGGUAACGGCUCACCUAGGCGACGAUCCCUAGCUGGUCUGAGAGGAUGCCCAGCCACACUGGAACUGAGCCACGGGCCAGACGCCUACGGGAGUCAGCAGUGGCGAAUAUUGAACAAGGGGCGCAAGCCUGAUGACGCCAUGCCGCGUGUAGGAAGAAUGCCUUCGGGUUGUAAAUUACUUUCAGCGGGGAGGCGUUACCCGCAGAAGACGCACCGGCUAACUCCGUGCCAGCAGCCGCGGUAAUAC
rnacentral:rRNA from 1 species